rnacentral:lncRNA from 1 species
UUAGUUUUUACAAUUUCUCCAAAAUAUAGAUUCUCUAGCAACCCUUCAGAUGAAUAUGGGCCUGCAAAUCCACAGCCCUUUUCAACCUCCAGGAACAUCUGGCCAUGCCUCCUAGAAGGCCUUUCCUGGUUUUCAUAUGUUUAGACUGCCAUGGGAUUUAGACAUAGAUGGGACUCUAAGAAGACUGCUGCUCUUCUCUUCUGCUCUUAGAUAGGAUUGACCAAAUUGGGAGACUAUGCUUUAGUAAAUUUCAUAGGUUAACCAACUUCCUCACCCAGAAGAUGAAGGUCAACAUCAACAGAGGACUGUUUGCAGCUCAGGAUGUUUGCCAUCACAACGGCAGAGCCGCAGUUCACACCCAGGCACAUUCUCCCCAAGACCUGUGGCUGCAACCACUGCUAUGCAUGGAAUGUGAGACGGAUGGUGCUCGCCUAGCCAACAGUUGACGCUGAAUACAUCUUCAUCUAUGUAUUGACCAUCUACCCUUUUCCCAUGUUUUGUUUGUCAAAAUUCUUUGCUAAUUUCCUUAUUAAAAAUGGUCAGUAUUUUAAUUCUCCUGAUUCAUGAUAAUUUCUUUGACAAAGAAAUUAAUACUUUGUUAAAUGAGUACAAAUAUUUUUAAACAAUCUGUUUUACUUUUAAUCUUUGUUUAUGGUGAUAUUUUGG